CCUACGGGAGGCAGCAGUGAGGAAUAUUGGUCAAUGGACGCAAGUCUGAACCAGCCAAGCCGCGUGAAGGAAGACGGCCCUAUGAGUUGUAAACUGCUUUUGUACGAGGGUAAACGCAGACACGCGUAUCUGUCUGAAAGUACCGUACGAAUAAGGAUCGGCUAACUCCGUGCCAGCAGCCGCGGUAAUACGGAGGAUUCGAGCGUUAUCCGGAUUUAUUGGGUUUAAAGGGUGCGUAGGCGGUCGGAUAAGUUAGAGGUGAAAUCCCGAGGCUCAACCUCGGAAUUGCCUUUGAUACUGUUUGGCUAGAGAGUAGUUGAGGUAGGCGGAAUGUAUGGUGUAGCGGUGAAAUGCUUAGAGAUCAUACAGAACACCGAUUGCGAAGGCAGCUUACCAAGCUACUUCUGACGUUGAUGUACGAAAGUGUGGGUAGCAAACAGGAUUAGAUACCCGGGUAGUC
rnacentral:rRNA from 1 species